rnacentral:rRNA from 1 species
GGCCCUUCGGGGUACACGAGCGGCGAACGGGUGAGUAACACGUGAGCAACCUGCCCCUGACUCUGGGAUAAGCGGUGGAAACGCCGUCUAAUACCGGAUACGACCUUCCGCCUCAUGGUGGAGGGUGGAAAGUUUUUUCGGUCAGGGAUGGGCUCGCGGCCUAUCAGCUUGUUGGUGGGGUAACGGCCUACCAAGGCGAUUACGGGUAGCCGGCCUGAGAGGGCGACCGGCCACACUGGGACUGAGACACGGCCCAGACUCCUGCGGGAGGCAGCAGUGGGGAAUAUUGCGCAAUGGGCGAAAGCCUGACGCAGCGACGCCGCGUGGGGGAUGACGGCCUUCGGGUUGUAAACCUCUUUUACCACCAACGCAGGCUCCGGGUUCUCUCGGGGUUGACGGUAGGUGGGGAAUAAGGACCGGCUAACUACGUGCCAGCAGCCGCGGUAAUACGUAGGGUCCGAGCGUUGUCCGGAAUUAUUGGGCGUAAAGAGCUCGUAGGCGGCGUGUCGCGUCUGCUGUGAAAGACCGGGGCUUAACUCCGGUUCUGCAGUGGAUACGGGCAUGCUAGAGGUAGGUAGGGGAGACUGGAAUUCCUGGUGUAGCGGUGAAAUGCGCAGAUAUCAGGAGGAACACCGGUGGCGAAGGCGGGUCUCUGGGCCUUACCUGACGCUGAGGAGCGAAAGCAUGGGGAGCGAACAGGAUUAGAUACCCUGGUAGUCCAUGCCGUAA